AGGACGAACGCUGGCGGCGUGCUUAACACAUGCAAGUCGAGCGGAAAGGCCCUUCGGGGUACUCGAGCGGCGAACGGGUGAGUAACACGUGACUAACCUACCCUAGAGUGGGGAAUAACUUCGGGAAACCGAGGCUAAUACCGCAUAACAUCGCAGAGGGAAGCUCUUUGCGAUCAAAGGAGCAAUUCGCUCAAGGAGGGGGUCGCGGCUGAUUAGUUAGUUGGUGAGGUAACGGCUCACCAAGACAAAGAUCAGUA
rnacentral:rRNA from 1 species